rnacentral:rRNA from 1 species
UGAGAAGCGAAAGCAUGGGGAGCGAACAGGAUUAGAUACCCUGGUAGUCCAUGCCGUAAACGGUGGGAACUAGGUGUGGGCCUCAUUCCACGAGGUCCGUGCCGCAGCUAACGCAUUAAGUUCCCCGCCUGGGGAGUACGGCCGCAAGGCUAAAACUCAAAGGAAUUGACGGGGGCCCGCACAAGCGGCGGAGCAUGCGGAUUAAUUCGAUGCAACGCGAAGAACCUUACCAAGGCUUGACAUGUGCCGGAAAAGUGCAGAGAUGUGCUCCCCGCAAGGUCGGUACACAGGUGGUGCAUGGUUGUCGUCAGCUCGUGUCGUGAGAUGUUGGGUUAAGUCCCGCAACGAGCGCAACCCUCGUUCUAUGUUGCCAGCACGUGAUGGUGGGGACUCAUAGGAGACUGCCGGGGUCAACUCGGAGGAAGGUGGGGAUGACGUCAAAUCAUCAUGCCCCUUAUGUCUUGGGCUUCACGCAUGCUACAAUGGCCAGUACAAAGGGCUGCGAUACCGCAAGGUGGAGCGAAUCCCAAAAAACUGGUCUCAGUUCGGAUUGGGGUCUGCAACUCGACCCCAUGAAGUCGGAGUCGCUAGUAAUCGCAGAUCAGCAACGCUGCGGUGAAUACGUUCCCGGGCCUUGUACACACCGCCCGUCAAGUCACGAAAGUCGGUAACACCCGAAGCCGGUGGCCUAACCCUUAGGGGGAGGAGCCGUCGAAGGUGGGACUGGCGAUUGGGACUAAGUCGUAACAAGGUA